CGGGGUAGCUUUUGCUUUUUGCCUUGGAAAAUUUUUCCAAGUAAGAGAUAGAUCAUGAUUGAACCCGGGUAGCUUUUUGUUUGUUUGCCUUGGAAAAUAAUUUUUCCAAGUAAGAGAUAUGUCAUAACUGGACCGGGGUAGCUUUUUGUUUGUUUGCCUUAGAAAAAUUUUUCCAAGUAAGAUAGCUCAUGAUUGAACCGGGGUACUCGGGUUCUCAAAAUUGAACCGGGGUAGCUUUUGCUUUUUGCCUUGGAAAAUUUUUCCAAGUAAGAGAUAGAUCAUGAUUGAACCCGGGUAGCUUUUUGUUUGUUUGCCUCGGAAAAUAAUUUUUCCAAGUAAGAGAUAUGUCAUAACUGGACCGGGGUAGCUUUUUGUUUGUUUGCCUUAGAAAAAUUUUUCCAAGUAAGAUAGCUCAUGAUUAAACCGGGGUACUCGGGUUCUCAAAAUUGAACCGGGGUAGCUUUUGCUUUUUGCUUUGGAAAAUUUUUCCAAGUAAGAGAUAGAUCAUGAUUGAACCCGGGUAGCUAUUUGUUUGUUUGCCUUGGAAAAUAAUUUUUCCAAGCAAGAGAUAGCUCAUGAUUGCACCCGGGUAGCUUUUUGUUUGUUUGCCUUGGAAAAUAAUUUUUCCAAGCAAGAGAUAGCUCAUGAUUGCACCCGGGUAGCUUUUUGUUUGUUUGCCUUGGAAAAUAAUUUUUCCAAGCAAGAGAUAGCUCAUGAUUGCACCCGGGUAGCUUUUGCUUUUUUGCCUUCAAAAAUUUUUCGAAAAAUUUUUCUAAGUAAGAGAUAACUAAAAAGUGAACCCGGGUAGCCUUUUGGUUGUUUGUCUUAGAAAAUUUUUUCCAAGUAUGAUUGCUUGGUCCGGACUCAUUAUUGAAUCAGGGUUAGUAUGAUUGCGUAGUCCGGACUCAUCUAAGUCAGGACUAGUAUGGUUGCUUAGAAAAACUUCUUGCUGAUUGCUUCUUGAAGACAUCUCAUAUAAGCCGAGAGUGCCUCAUUAUCAUACUCCCGUACCCGGAGUCCCUUCUAACUUUCUUCUACAGCUCAUGGAUCAUGUCCCAUAGAUUGGUCUGAUACUCGUUAUUCUCAUGGUCUUAGAUCAGCUCUUGGGUUGGCUCAUUCCUAGAUCGUUUGGAGCGGGACUUGCUCAUGAGCCUUUCUUCUUAUAACUGGAUCCUUCUUUGAAUUUUUUGCUCUAGCUUUUCUUCUUCUUCUCUCCGGAUGUGUUCUUUUUUUUUUGGCCAGGAUCUUUCGCCUUGUGGCAUCACUUUCUCUCUGCUUCUUUUUCCUUACUUUGUCACCAAUCCGGUCAAAGACGGAACCCCGGGAUUGGCGGGAAUUUUCAAAGUCUUCAGAAUCAGGAAUCAACCUGGGUCCUUUGAGGUUUUCGGCUCGUUGUUCCUGGUAUAACCGGAUUGCUUCGGCCAACUCUAUGUUGGUUAGAUAUGUAACAUGGUCUGCGGUCACCGGGACAUCGAUGCACUUU
rnacentral:lncRNA from 1 species